UCCCUGGUGGCUCAGAUGGUAAAGAAUCUGCCUGCAAUGCGGGAGACCUUGGUUCGAUCCCUGGUUUGGGAA
rnacentral:tRNA from 1 species